AAGGUACUAAAGACGAUAUAUAUAAGCAACGAUUACGGUACGCAGUUCCGGGGACUCCACAGACCACUCCCCUAGCCCCAUUAGGGCAGGCUAGGCACAGUAAACCACAAAAGACAAACCGACCACGCGACAGUAACCCAAAAGAUAAACUAGCUCUAGGACUCGGAUAGCAAGCAAAUGCACACGCCUAGUCGACCUCCUCCAUCUUGCUCUCGCCGGCGUCCUCCUCCAACGGCGGCAUGUCCGUGUCAGCCUCAGCAGCCUCCUCGUCCUCGUCGAUGCUCAGGCCCAGCUUGAGCAUGCGGUGGAUCCUGGUGCCGAAGGUGUUGGGGUCGUCAAGGCUGAAGCCCGAGGUGAGCAGGGAGGUCUCGAACAGCAGCAUCACCAGGUCCUUGACAGACUUGUCGUUCUUGUCCACGUCGGCGCGCUUGCGCAGCUCCUCCAUGAUGGCGUUCUCUGGGUUGAUCUCCAUCGUCUUCUUGCUCGACAUGUAGCCGCCCAUGCUC
rnacentral:lncRNA from 1 species